GAUGAACGCUAGCUACAGGCUUAACACAUGCAAGUCGAAGGGAAACGACAUCGAAAGCUUGCUUUUGAUGGGCGUCGACCGGCGCACGGGUGAGUAACGCGUAUCCAACCUGCCCACCACUUGGGGAUAACCUUGCGAAAGUAAGACUAAUACCCAAUGACGUCUCUAGAAGACGUCUGAAGGAGAUUAAAGAUUUAUCGGUGAUGGAUGGGGAUGCGUCUGAUUAGCUUGUUGGCGGGGUAACGGCCCACCAAGGCGACGAUCAGUAGGGGUUCUGAGAGGAAGGUCCCCCACAUUGGAACUGAGACACGGUCCAAACUCCUACGGGAGGCAGCAGUGAGGAAUAUUGGUCAAUGGGCGAGAGCCUGAACCAGCCAAGUAGCGUGCAGGAUGACGGCCCUAUGGGUUGUAAACUGCUUUUAUAAGGGAAUAAAGUGAGUCUCGUGAGACUUUUUGCAUGUACCUUAUGAAUAAGGACCGGCUAAUUCCGUGCCAGCCGCCGCCGUAA
rnacentral:rRNA from 1 species